rfam:Picea glauca, whole genome shotgun sequence.
AAUUUUCCGAUGAAUUUGUGCAUAAAUGUGCAUUUAAGUUGUUGUAGUUAAAAAUCUCGUAGUUGGAUCUUGGAUCGUAAAGGUCGGUCCGCCUACUUGGUGUACACCUGCCCUUCCACCCUUUUGUCAGUGGCGUGCUCCUGGCCUUAAUUGGAUGGGUCGCAGUUCCGACAUUACUUUGAAAAACAUAUAGUGCUCAAAUCAAGCUUAUGCUAUGAAUACAUUAGCAUGGAAUAAAACGAUAGGAGUUUGGUCCUAUUGUGUUAGACUUCGAGACCAAAGUAAUGAUUAAUAGGGACUGUCGGGGGCAUUCGUAUUUCAUUGUCAGAGGUGAAAUUCUUGGAUUUAUGAAAGACGAACCACUGUGAAAGAAUUUUCCAAGGAUGUUUUCAUUAAUCAAAAAAGAAAGUUGGGGGCUCGAAGACGAUCAUAUAACAUCCUAGUCUCAACCAUAAACGAUGCCAACUAGGGAUCAACGGAUGUUUCUCUAAGGACUCCGCCAACACCUUAUGAGAAAUCAGAGUGUUUGGGUUCCGGUGGGAU